rnacentral:rRNA from 1 species
GACGAACGCUGGCGGCGUGCUUAACACAUGCAAGUCGAACGGAAAGGCCCUGCUUGCAGGGUACUCGAGUGGCGAACGGGUGAGUAACACGUGGGUGAUCUGCCCUGCACUUCGGGAUAAGCCUGGGAAACUGGGUCUAAUACCGGAUAGGAGCCAUUUUUAGGGUGAUGGUUGGAAAGUUUUUUCGGUGCAGGAUGAGCUCGCGGCCUAUCAGCUUGUUGGUGGGGUAAUGGCCUACCAAGGCGGCGACGGGUAGCCGGCCUGGGAGGGUGGACGGCCACAUUGGGACUGAGAUACGGCCCAGACUCCUACGGGAGGCAGCAGUGGGGAAUAUUGCACAAUGGGCGCAAGCCUGAUGCAGCGACGCCGCGUGGGGGAUGACGGCCUUCGGGUUGUAAACUCCUUUCGCUAGGGACGAAGCUUUUUGUGACGGUACCUAGAUAAGAAGCACCGGCUAACUACGUG